CACAGCGCUACUGUCCACAUUGGUCCAGAAGCUGACUGGAUUUGUCUGUGUGCCACAACAACAUACUGGCAGUGGUCAAAUAAUGUGCACAAGUUAAAAAACUGCAGUUCUGAAGUGGAACAACAAAGCCACAGCUCAUGAGAUGGAUUCUGCUGUGGUCGAUCACCUCAAGCAUGCCCCCUGCAGAGCUUUUAACUUUUUUUUUUCUUUUCUUGUUUGACUUCUCAGAAACUAAAAUGCAAGAUUUUGUCUUGUUAAAUAAUCACCUUGAUUUCCUUUACAUUAAAACAUUGAAAAUCAUGUACAAUACUGACACAGCUUAUGGUUCAAACGUUUGAAAAUUCUUUCUGAAUUGAUGCAUAGGAUCUUUGUCUUAGUCCUAACGAAGUUCAUGGUCCAGUUUUAUGUUCCACAAAUGAAAUUAAUAAUAACUACACGUUUUCAAUAAAGUUUCCAUUUAACAAA